rnacentral:lncRNA from 1 species
AUAAAGAUUUUCACAAGGCUAAUCAUGACUUUGUUUUGGGUAUGUUGAGAUGGGAGUGCCUGGGAGGUUUGCAGUGCCUAUAUAUGCUGUAGGAAGUAAAUGCAUGGCAUUAGAGCUCAGUGGGUCUAUCUGUCCUGGAUUUGUUGGUCACUAGGAUGUUACUCUGCCAAAGAAUUGAAUGAAUUUAUGCCAAGGAACUGAACAAAUUUCUCAAGAGUGUACCUGUAGAAAAUGAAGAUAAGAGGGCCAAGGUCAGAAGCUUAGAGACCAUGUGUUGUGUUGUGAACAGAGAAAAAAGAUAGCACCAAAAAAUGAGAAGGAAAGGCCAUGAGAAUGAGACAGAGAUAGAAGAUGGUGACCG